GACGAACGCUGGCGGCGUGCUUAACACAUGCAAGUCGAACGGAAAGGCCCUGCUUGCAGGGUACUCGAGUGGCGAACGGGUGAGUAACACGUGGGUGAUCUGCCCUGCACUUCGGGAUAAGCCUGGGAAACUGGGUCUAAUACCGGAUAGGAGCCAUUUUUAGUGUGAUGGUUGGAAAGUUUUUUCGGUGUAGGAUGAGCUCGCGGCCUAUCAGCUUGUUGGUGGGGUAAUGGCCUACCAAGGCGGCGACGGGUAGCCGGCCUGAGAGGGUGGACGGCCACAGUGGGACUGAGAUACGGCCCAGACUCCUACGGGAGGCAGCAGUGGGGAAGAUUGCACAAUGGGCGCAAGCCUGAUGCAGCGACGCCGCGUGGGGGAUGACGGCCUUCGGGUUGUAAACUCCUUUCGCUAGGGACGAAGCUUUUUGUGACGGUACCUAGAGAAGAAGCACCGGCUAACUACGUG
rnacentral:rRNA from 1 species